rnacentral:lncRNA from 1 species
UCAGAAAACAAGAGACAUUAACUUUUAUUUCUUACCUGCUUAUUGGUACCCCUAGGGUCCAUAGGGAUGUCCUCCCUACUUGUGAACCCAAUAUCCAAUUUUACAAUUGACCAGUCGUCCCCAUACCCUGUUUGGUAAUGAGCACCAAACAUUCCAUCGCCUUGAUACCCUAUCCGGUAUGAGGGUGAACUAUAUCUCUCAAACUUUUCUAGUAAGGGACUUCCUAGCC